GAUAGCUCAGUUGGAAAAGCAUGAGACUCUUAAUCUCAGGGUUGUUCAUUCGAGUCCCACGGUGGACA